GCAUGCGCCAAUUUUCCCCCAAGGAGGGAAGCUAAAUUAAAGUGUGUUUGGCUUUUCGUUUUCUUGGGGACGAGACUUUGAGCCACUCACAGGCCACUUCUGUUUGGUAUGAUGGCAAGAACAUAUAUUAGGAGCCAGUAAACGUGGUCCUGGCUUUGUGGCCAUAGGUGCUUGACUUAAGCUUUGACUGCAGAGGCAUCCACUGCAAAGAAACAUCCUCUUCAGUGAUGACUAUUUCAAAGAAACACAUUGCCAGCCACAGGACUAGAUGAAGACCCAGCCUUCCUUCUUCUCUAAUACAAACUUUAAAUGUAUAAAAUGCCAAAAGGACCACUUCUCUGCAUCCCACAGGUUUUGUAAUAGAAGAAAAUUCUAAAAUUCAUAUGGAAGCACAGAAGACCACAUGUAACCAAAUCAAUCUUGAGAAAGAACAACAAAACUGGAGGCUUGGGGCACCUGGGUGGCUCAGUAGGUUAAGCAUCUGCCCUCGGCUCAGGCCAUGAUCCCAGGGUCCUGGGAUGGAGCCCCACGUUGGG